GGGGAUGUAUAACUUCGGUUAGCUAUAUUUGGUUUAAAUAAAUAAUUACAUUUAGUCUUAUACAUUAAAUAUUGUUAUUUAGUUAAUUUACGGCCUGUCAGUUAGAUAAUAAACCUUCUAAUUACUUAACUAGAUAAUAUUUUAUCUAGGCAGACGGUAUAGUAUCGACUUUGUCGAGUAAAGUUCUAGAUAUAAAACUGAUGAUGACAAUUUUAUUAUCUAUAUGUCUUGACCAAAUUACGUGCCAGCAGUCGCGGUAAUACGUAGAAGACUAGUGUUAUUCAUCUUUAGUAGGUUUAAAGGGUACCUAGACGGUAAAAUUAAUCUUAAAUAGGAUAUGUUUUUACUAGAGUUAUAUGUGAGGAGGGGAGUAUUUAUGGUGUAGAGUUGAAAUUCGUUGAUCCCAUAAGGACUGGUAACGGCGAAAGCAACCUUUUAUGUAAUAACUGACGUUGAGGGACGAAGGCUCGGGUCACGAACAGGAUUAGAUACCCUAGUAGUCCAAGCAGAUAAUUAUGAAUGCCAUAGAUUAGAUAUUUUUUUUUUGAUCUAUAAAUGAAAGUGUAAGCAUUUCACCUCAAGAGUAAUGUGGCAACGCAGGAACUGAAAUCAUUAGACCGUUUCUGAAACCAGUAGUGAAGUAUGUUAUUUAAUUCGUAGGUACGCGAAAAACCUUACCACAAUUUGAAUAUUAUCUUUAUAAGAUAUUACAAGCGUUGCACGGCUGUCUUCAGUUAAUGUCGUGAGAUAUUGGUUAACUCCUUUAAAUUAACGGAAGCCCUUGCUUUACUUGCUUUUUAUUAGGACAACUUCUCUUUAAAAAGAAUAAAGCAGUUCACCAUUAUAUUGGAUAUGAUAACAGGACCAAGACAAGUCA
rnacentral:rRNA from 1 species